rnacentral:rRNA from 1 species
GACGAACGCUGGCGGCGUGCUUAACACAUGCAAGUCGAACGGAAAGGCCCUGCUUUUGUGGGGUGCUCGAGUGGCGAACGGGUGAGUAACACGUGAGUAACCUGCCCUUGACUUUGGGAUAACUUCAGGAAACUGGGGCUAAUACCGGAUAGGAGCUCCUGCUGCAUGGUGGGGGUUGGAAAGUUUCGGCGGUUGGGGAUGGACUCGCGGCUUAUCAGCUUGUUGGUGGGGGAGUGGCUUACCAAGGCUUUGACGGGUAGCCGGCCUGGGAGGGUGACCGGCCACAUUGGGACUGAGGUACGGCCCAGACUCCUACGGGAGGCAGCAGUGGGGAAUAUUGCACAAUGGGCGGAAGCCUGAUGCAGCAACGCCGCGUGCGGGAUGACGGCCUUCGGGUUGUAAACCGCUUUCGCCUGUGACGAAGCGUGAGUGACGGUAAUGGGUAAAGAAGCACCGGCUAACUACGUG